rnacentral:rRNA from 1 species
AACGAACGCUGGCGGCGCGCUUAACACAUGCAAGUCGAACGAGGUUAUUGUUUUCGGAUGAUAACUUAGUGGCGCACGGGUGAGUAACGCGUGGGAACCUGCCCUUUGCUACGGGACAACCACUGGAAACGGUGGCUAAUACCGUAUAAUGCAACUUCGGUUGCCAAAGAUUUAUCGGCGAAGGAGGGGCCCGCGUUAGAUUAGCUUGUUGGUGGGGUAACGGCCUACCAAGGCUUCGAUCUAUAGCUGGUCUGAGAGGACGAUCAGCCACACUGGGACUGAGACACGGCCCAGACUCCUACGGGAGGCAGCAGUGGGGAAUCUUGGACAAUGGGGGCAACCCUGAUCCAGCGACGCCGCGUGGAUGAAGAAGGCCUUAGGGUUGUAAAGUCCUUUCACCGGGGAGGAUGAUGACGUUACCCGGAGAAGAAGCACCGGCUAACUCCG